rnacentral:rRNA from 1 species
AUGGAGCCUCGACUUAAACUUAGCAAGAAAAGCCAAGCACCCGCGGUUGAUGCAACGGAGUAUAGAAGUGUGGUUGGAAGCCUAAGGUAUCUUGUGAAUACACGACCAGACUUGGCAUAUUCCGUUGGCGUAGUGAGUCGCUUUAUGGAAGCACCCACGACAGAACAUUGGGCAGCUGUGAAACAAAUACUCAGGUACAUCAAAGGGACAACUAACUUCGGCUGUGUCUAUUUGAGAGAGAAGCGGAAGGAGAUGGUGGAGCUACUUGGCUACAGUGAUAGCGACUUGGCAGGAGAUAUUGACGACCGUAAAAGUACCUCGGGCGUGGCAUAUUUCUUGGGAAGAAGCAUAGUGAGUUGGCUAUCACAAAAGCAGAAGGUGGUCGCAUUAUCAUCCUGUGAAGCGGAGUAUAUUGCAGCUGCAACCGCGGCAGGUCAAGGUGUGUGGCUAGAAAGGCUACUCGGUGACCUCACUGACAAGGAACCAGAAGGAGUGGUGCUCUACGUUGACAACAAGUCCACGAUUGCUCUAUGUAAGAAUCAAGUGCAUCAUGAUAGAAGUAAGCACAUUGAUAUAAGGUAUCACUACAUACGAGAUUGCGUGGAAGAAGGCAAGAUUGAAGUCAACUACAUUUGCACCGAUGAUCAGCUUGCAGAUAUCCUGACCAAGUCUUUGGGGCGACAGAAGUUCACGGAGAUGCGGGGAAGGAUCGGCGUCCAAGCUGUGAAGUGA